UUGGAGGGCAAGUCUGGUGCCAGCAGCCGCGGUAAUUCCAGCUCCAAUAGCGUAUAUUAAAGUUGUUGUGGUUAAAAAGCUCGUAGUUGAACCUUGGGCCUGGCUGGCCGGUCCGCCUCACCGCGUGUACUGGUCCGGCCGGGCCUUUCCCUCUGUGGAACCCCAUGCCCUUCACUGGGCGUGGCGGGGAAACAGGACUUUACUGUGAAAAAACUUAGAGUGCUCCAGGCAGGCCUAUGCUCGAAUACAUUAGCAUGGAAUAAUAGAAUAGGA
rnacentral:rRNA from 1 species